rnacentral:tRNA from 1 species
GGAGAGUGAAGGGUGCCUGGUGGUCCUCGCGGUCUUCAAAACCGUUGUCGGUUCGCAAGAGCCGGGGCAGGUUCGAUUCCUGUCCUCUCCG